GUACAGUGCAUCACUUCCAUGUAUUUCCAUCCUUUUAGCUUUGUGCUAUGUUUAUAUAUCAUGUCACUUUAUAACCUAGCUUAUUUUGCACAAAAAAAAAGCAUACAGUCACUGAUAUUCUUUUUUUCAGUUCCACAUUUUGUCACCACUAUAGCAGCACGAAGAACGGUUGAUUUUGAGUCAAACUGAGAGAGAGAGUGAGAGAGAAAGAGAAAGGUGAUCGAGGAAGUCUGAUGGACUGAACCACAGUUACACUUUUCUAAAUGCAUCCAGAACCUUGUGAUCUGAGUAACAUGGGUCAGAACACUAAACGGCGUAGAAACAGCAUGAAUGAAGCACCUCUUUUCAGAUUGGAAGCUGUGGCCAUCAGGAGUGCAGUCUUUAACAGCUUCUUGUCAAUUGUCAUCAGAGGUGUCCUAUUUUUCUCCUUCGAUGAAAGAAAGAUAGCAGCAAGCCAAAAGAAUUGUGAUGGUUGCAGAGUAUGGGAUUUUUUUUUUCAAAUCUGGAAUUUCAGAAGGUGAAAAUCAGUAUAUAAUUUUGGAAAAUCUGAGAAAGACGGAGGUCACUAAAAUAUUGGAGGAACUGGACAACAAGUAUUCUCCAUGAGAUGUGCAAAAAGAAAUGAACCGUUAUAAAGAAACCAUCUAUUUAUAGAAAAAGGAAAGGGCAGAGGUGCAGACUGCAGAUAGACAUUAUGAGUGUAUAUGAUUCAUUCUGAGACUUCAGUAUUUGGAGCAGUAUGUUCUGCAGUGGCUAAUCCAUCAGUAGCUGUGUUUGAGGCAUUAGAUGCAAAUUGAGUUCAUUUGAAACUAACAAUUUCCUUCUUUUGCACUAAUAAAUAAUAUAUGGGCAAUAUAAGUCUGCAUUCACAUAGCAGGUAAAAGUGGCCCAAAACUGAUUUUCUUUUCUUUCUUCUUUAUACUUUCUUCUGUUUCCCAACUGUUUAGUUAAUUCUAUUUUUAGUAUAAUUUUAUUUAAAAUCUAUUCCAGUAUUUUGUAUAUUAUGUAUAUUUUAAGCUUAUUUUAUUCUCUUUUACUUUUAUUCUUUUUGAUUCUUUGAAUGAGAUUUGUGUUUUUUCUUAUGCCACAGAAAUGUUUGAUAAAUGAUUAUUAUAUUGAAUGUUGUGAACUGCAGUUCGUUCCUGUUAUUACUGAUGUUAUUAAAGCUAUAAACAGCUUCUUUUUUCUCUUUGUUGUGAAUGAGCUGUGCAAACAAAUGUUAAUGUGAAAUGAUUUCCUUUAUUCUGUUUUGUUAAAU